rnacentral:rRNA from 1 species
UACGUAGGGUGCAAGCGUUGUCCGGAAUUAUUGGGCGUAAAGAGCUCGUAGGCGGUCUGUCGCGUCUGCUGUGAAAAUCCAGGGCUCAACCCUGGACCUGCAGUGGGUACGGGCAGACUAGAGUGCGGUAGGGGAGAUCGGAAUUCCUGGUGUAGCGGUGAAAUGCGCAGAUAUCAGGAGGAACACCGGUGGCGAAGGCGGGUCUCUGGGCAACAACUGACGCUGAGGAGCGAAAGCGUGGGGAGCGAACAGG